GGGUUGUGAGGUUAAGCGACUAAGCGUACACGGUGGAUGCCCUGGCAGUCAGAGGCGAUGAAGGGCGUGCUAAUCUGCGAUAAGCGCCGGUAAGGUGAUAUGAACCGUUAUAACCGGCGAUACCCGAAUGGGGAAACCCAGUGUGACUCGUCACACUAUCAUUAACUGAAUCCAUAGGUUAAUGAGGCGAACCGGGGG
rnacentral:rRNA from 3 species